AACUGGUGAUGAUAAUCUUAAGGCUUGUUUCUCAGAAACAUUCGCAGUGGCCGACUAAGAGCUUUCGCCUUCGCCAGGCUUGAGAGCUUGUGCUGUCUUUCUCCUUCCUUCCUUGGAUGUCUGAAGUUUCAAUAUUAUACAUAAAUUAUUUCUUUAUUUAUUUAUGGAGAUUUAGUGUGGGUUUCUCAAUGAUGAUUUCAAUAGAUGACGAGUCUGAUGUAAUAUCCAUUCCAUUCAAUCAUGAAGACGAAUCGAGGCAUUUGUCUGAGAGCC
rnacentral:lncRNA from 1 species